AAAAAAUCUAUUUUCAUUGUGAAACUAGAAAAUAUGCAAUUUGAAGCGGCAUUGAUAGUUACUGGCGGUACUAAGUUAUCGUCCAUAAACAAAUUAUACAACGAAACAGGAUGGGAGUUACUAUCAGAAAGACGUAAAAAACAUGAAAUGUUUCACAAUAAGACCCCUGAUUAUUUAAGCGAUAUUAUCCCUUAACAACUGUGUAAUAUUCAUAACUAUGACACAAGACGAACGAAUGACACACAACAUAUAAAGUGUAGAACAGCAUUGUAUCAGAAAUCUUUUCUUAUGUCAGUCAUUCGAUCCUGAAAUGCUUUUCCGGACGAUAUCAGAUUUGGUCCAUCUAAGUUUACACUUCAGACUCGGACUUCUCUUGAACUGAAUUUUAAUGUGCAUAUUGUUAUGCGUUUACUUUUCUACAUUGGCUAGAGGUAUAGGGGGAGGGUUGAUAUCUCACAAACAUGUUUAACCCCGCAGCAUUUUUGCGCCUGUCCCAAGUCAGGAGCCUCUGGCCUUUGUUAGUCUUGUAUUAUUUUAAUUUUAGUUUCUUGUGUACAAUUUGGAAAUUAGUAUGGCGUUCAUUAUCACUGAACUAGUAUAUAUUUGUUUAGGGGCCAGCUGAAGGACGACUCCGGGUACGGGAAUUUCUCGCUACAUUGAAGACCUAUUGGUGACCUUCUGCUGUUGCUUUUUUCUAUGUUUGGGUUGUUGUCUCUUUGACACAUUCCCCAUUUCCAUUCUCAAUUUUAAUAAGAGGAAAAUCUACUUGUGUUUAAACAAGUUCAACAAUUUUUAGUAGAUUCAAAGCCAUUUGGAAUAUAUAGUAUAAAUUUUCAUGGUUAGGAUCGUAAUUGGGUGAGACAGUCUUGACAAAGUCCUGGACACACACCACCCCGGUACAUAUCAUAUAGGAAAGAUCAGAAGAAAAAAAAUUAUAUGCAGUUAUUUGCCUUUUUUUUUUACAGGGAGACCGAUUAAUAUAUUAAGGGAAAUACUGAUUCGAAUCCCUUAGUAUUAAUGUAUUUCUGUAAUUAUAUGCAUAUGACAUGUAUAUAUGUACAUGUUUUUUUUAUAUAAUAUGUUUUGAGUAAAGGUAUUUUUUUAAAGAAAAAAAAACCAGGUAUUUCUGGGGGAAAGGUUGGUAACCGGGAAAAGAAAUACUGAUUCGAAUCCCUUAGUAUUAAUGUAUUUCUGUAAUUAUAUGCAUAUGACAUAUAUAUAUGUACAUGUUUUUUUUUUUAUAUAUAAUAUGUUUUGAGUAAAGGUAUUUUUUUAAAGAAAAAAAAACCCAGGUAUUUCAGGGGAAAGGUUGGUAACCGGGGAAAAAAAAUACAUAACAGUUAGAUGCUGAGAGUUCAGGGAAUAUAAUGGAAUAGCAUUUUCUAAUAGCAUUAAACGUAUUUGUAAACCGUCGAAGAUCAGACUUAGGGCUUCAGUGACUAAAAUAAAAAAAAAUCACUGCGACUAGGACUGGUCUAUCAUUAUGUACUUUAUUUCUUAGGAUCAUGCAAAGGUUGGCACGUCUACUAUGUGAC
rnacentral:lncRNA from 1 species